UUGUAAGUGUCUAAGGGCGCAUGGUGGAUGCCUUGGCAUCGAGAGCCGAUGAAGGACGUGGGAGGCUGCGAUAUGCCUCGGGGAGCUGUCAACCGAGCGUGGAUCCGAGGAUUUCCGAAUGGGGAAACCCAGCACGAGUGAUGUCGUGCUACCCGCAUCUGAAUAUAUAGGGUGCGGGAGGGAACGCGGGGAAGUGAAACAUCUCAGUACCCGUAGGAGGAGAAAACAAUUGUGAUUCCGCAAGUAGUGGCGAGCGAACGCGGAACAGGCUAAACCGCACGCAUGGGUAACCGGGUAGGGGUUGUGUGUGCGGGGUUGUGGGAGGAUAUGUCUCAGCGCUACCCGGCUGAGAGGCAGUCAGAAAGUGUCGUGGUUAGCGGAAGUGGCCUGGGAUGGUCUGCCGUAGACGGUGAGAGCCCGGUACGCGAAAACCCGGCACCUGCCUAGUAUCAAUUCCCGAGUAGCAGCGGGCCCGUGGAAUCCGCUGUGAAUCCGCCGGGACCACCCGGUAAGCCUAAAUACUCCUCGAUGACCGAUAGCGGAUUAGUACCGUGAGGGAAUGGUGAAAAGUACCCCGGGAGGGGAGUGAAAGAGUACCUGAAACCGUGUGCCUACAAUCCGUCAGAGCCUCCUUUUCCUCUCCGGAGGAGGGUGGUGAUGGCGUGCCUUUUGAAGAAUGAGCCUGCGAGUCAGGGACAUGUCGCAAGGUUAACCCGUGUGGGGUAGCCGCAGCGAAAGCGAGUCUGAAUAGGGCGACCCACACGCGCAUACGCGCGUGUGAAUAGUGGCGUGUUCUGGACCCGAAGCGGAGUGAUCUACCCAUGGCCAGGGUGAAGCGCGGGUAAGACCGCGUGGAGGCCCGAACCCACUUAGGUUGAAGACUGAGGGGAUGAGCUGUGGGUAGGGGUGAAAGGCCAAUCAAACUCCGUGAUAGCUGGUUCUCCCCGAAAUGCAUUUAGGUGCAGCGUUGCGUGGUUCACCGCGGAGGUAGAGCUACUGGAUGGCCGAUGGGCCCUACUAGGUUACUGACGUCAGCCAAACUCCGAAUGCCGUGGUGUAAAGCGUGGCAGUGAGACGGCGGGGGAUAAGCUCCGUACGUCGAAAGGGAAACAGCCCAGAUCGCCGGCUAAGGCCCCCAAGCGUGUGCUAAGUGGGAAAGGAUGUGCAGUCGCAAAGACAACCAGGAGGUUGGCUUAGAAGCAGCCACCCUUGAAAGAGUGCGUAAUAGCUCACUGGUCAAGUGAUUGUGCGCCGAUAAUGUAGCGGGGCUCAAGCACACCGCCGAAGCCGCGGCACAUCCACCUUGUGGUGGGUGUGGGUAGGGGAGCGUCCCUCAUUCAGCGAAGCCACCGGGUGACCGGUGGUGGAGGGUGGGGGAGUGAGAAUGCAGGCAUGAGUAGCGACAAGGCAAGUGAGAACCUUGCCCGCCGAAAGACCAAGGGUUCCUGGGCCAGGCC
rnacentral:rRNA from 1 species